UACGGAGGGGGGCUAGCGUUGUUCGGAAUUAUUGGGCGUAAAGCGCGUGUAGGCGGCUUUGCAAGUCGGGUGUGAAAGCCCUCAGCUUAACUGAGGAAGUGCGCCCGAAACUGCAUUGCUUGAGUACCGGAGAGGAUGGCGGAAUUCCCCAAGUAGAGGUGAAAUUCGUAGAUAUGGGGAGGAACACCGGUGGCGAAGGCGGCCAUCUGGACGGAUACUGACGCUGAGACGCGAAAGCGUGGGUAGCAAACAGG
rnacentral:rRNA from 1 species